AUUGAACGCUGCGGCAGGCUUAACACAUGCAAGUCGAGCGAGCGGCGGACGGGUGCGUAAUGCUUAGGUAUCUGCCUAUUAGUGGGGGACAACAUCUCGAAAGGGAUGCUAAUACCGCAUACUAAUAGAUUAGCCUAAGUCGGAUUAGCUAGUUGGUGGGGUAAAGGCCUACCAAGGCGACGAUCUGUAGCGGGUCGGAGAGGGUGAUCCUCCAAACUGGGACUGGGGAACGGCCCAGACGUCUUCGGGGGGCAGCAGUGGGGAAUUUUGGAAAAUGGGGGGAAACCUGAUCCAGCCAUGCCGCGGGUGUGAAGAAGGCCUUAUGGUUGUAAAGCACUUUAAGCGAGGAGGCGUUACUCGCAGAAUAAGCACCGGCUAACUCUGUGCCAGCAGCCGCGGUAAUAC
rnacentral:rRNA from 1 species